rnacentral:rRNA from 1 species
GACGAACGCUGGCGGCGUGCCUAAUACAUGCAAGUAGAACGCUGAAGGAGGAGCUUCCUUCUCCGGAGGAGUUCCGAACGCGGGAGUAUCACGUAUGUAACCUGCCUGGUUGCUGGGGGUAACUAUUGGAAACGAUAGUUAAUACCGCAUAACAUUAGAUCUUGCAUGAUAUCUACGUGAAAUGUGCAAUUUCCUCACUACCAUAUGGACCUGCGUUGUAUUAGCUAGUUGGGGAGGGAACGGCUCACCGAGGCGAAGAUACAUAGCCGACCUGGGAGGGGGAUCGGCCAACAUGGGACGGAGACACGGCCCAAACUCCUAAGGGAGGCAGCAGUAGGGAAUCUUCGGCAAUGGACGGAAGUCUGACCGAGCAACGCCGCGGGAGUGAAGAAGGUUUUCGGAUCGUAAAACUCUGUUGUAAGAGAAGAACGAGUGUGAGAGUGGAAAGCUCACAUUGUGACGGUAUCUAACCAGAAAGGGACGGCUAACUACGUG